UGAACCUUGGUGAAGUGUCGCGGGCUGUUGAAGCAAUCAUCUACCAUCCUGAAUUCAGCUGCAUCACCUCUGACAACGAAAUCUGUAGCUGUCUGCUCCAGUCAGUUUUACAGAUCACAUCCAGCCGAUCUGCUUGGCCUGAGCAAACAGCACCUUCCAUGAUGGGAUCACCAGCUGGAUCACUGGCUUUGGUGAUAUUGGCCACAUGAUCCACAUAGAUGUACACUCACUGCCCUGGUAUGCCCAGAUGUGCCCUCGUGCAGUGCAGGUAGUCUAGAAACUGAUGGAGUAAAUAGCUGCUUCGAGCCAUGAGUUUGGCUAGGAUCCUCUACUAUUGAGCCUAAAAGCGCUGAAGUCCUGUAAACAGGACUGUCAUGGUCUGCACUUGCCAGUGCAGCUUCCGCCUUUCUCCUUAUUCGGAGGAAAGGUGGCUUCUCCAAUCAGGACCACACAGCUGAGGUGCAUCAGGCUCGUUAGAAGACGGUAUAAAGACUCCAGGAUCAUCUCUAGUCUUCGCUGGAUAGUACUACUAAAAGUGGUAACAGGCUCUAAGCAGAUCUAAGUCUUCUGGUGUUUUUCUGUGCUCUAACCGACCUUUAUUCUCUUCCAAGCCCCCGGCCCUGGAUAAAUCCUUGGAUUCGUGGAUCCUGUCUGCCCGCUCUCUGCUCUUCCUACCAGCCUGCUCCUUGCCUCACUUCUCACCGGAUUACACCUGGCACCAAUAUCACUUUGUAAAUAAAGACUCACAGAACACCAACCUUGUCUUCUCCUUCUUGGGUCCAGCUCCAGAC